UUGCCACAAAUUCGGAUGGCAGAACCAUCAAGUCACAAUAUCCGGUGCUGGACAAUCACCCAUACUCAGAGGAAGGUCGGGCCCCACCAUAAUGCAUGUGAUGAGUCAUGCCAAACUGCACACAGAGAUACAGGUGAGGAGGAUAGAGAUCAGAGAAGUUAAGUAACUUGCCAAAUGUCACACAAUGAACAAGAGUCGCUAUCUGGACCUAAAUCCAUGUCUUUUCUAACAUCGACACCCAUGCUGUUGCAUGACAUCGCACUAAGGAACUACCUAACAAUGCCUGACAUCUACCAUGCUGGAAGCAAAGGUACAAGUCCGGAGGAGUCUGAUGUCAAUGCCAGGGAAAGUCCUCUACUGGCAAGUAUGUGACACUGGGAAGACAUCUGCCAACAUACAUUCCCAGCGCCUGAGGCCCAUGUCUUGACAUACUGAGCCAGUGACAGGAGGACACCAAUGAUGACGCAACGUCAGAUAACCAAUGGGAAUGAGAGAUGACUGGUAAACCAAGUAAGAAGGCACUGGCAGAGGCAGCAAAGAGGCGUGGUGCUUGCGACAAGGCUGUAGCUUGAAAAGAAAAGAGGCCGUACCUUCACAGCCACGUUCUAUCUGUCCACUCCGAUGGAGGGCAUCGUUGAUGAGGUCUGGCAGACGCCCAUUCAAAUCCACCGAGGCCAGACAUCCCUGAAAGCCAUCCCGGGAAGCCACCAAUUUUGGAAGGUUGCUGUACAUGCCUUGGGCCAGACCCGCCAUGUAGAGGUCACCUGCAAAAGAAAGGCUUGAGCUGAGAUACCUGGUAUAAACUAUGUGAAGUGUUCUACUCACCCCUUGACUAGCUCAACUGCAAUGAAGUCAUUGCCAUCACCACUGUU